rnacentral:lncRNA from 1 species
UGCAUUUUCGAAGCUAGAAGUCAAGUCAGUCACCGAUCCCGCUCGAUCUACCGGGAGUAACCCCGAGCCUACGCCCCCUCGUCCCCGCCAUGGCCGAUUGGAGCCAGAUGCCGGAGGAACUCCUCCGCCUCAUCUCGCGGCGCCUCGGCACGCAGUUCGACGUCCUCCGAUUCCGAUCCGUCUGCUCUUCCUGGCGCUCCUCGGUCGCGCCGAGCCUUAAGCCCUUCCCGAACGGCCGAUUCCCGAUGAUCCCUGACGACAGCACCGGGGUAGACUUUCUCUGCAAGCGCACCAUCUACCUCCUCGGAGCGCCCCGAUCCGGCGACCGAACGGUCCCCAGCGGGUGGCUGCUCAAAGUCGCGGAGGACGUCCCCUGGGGGAUGAAUACACUGAACCCUCUCUCCAUCUGCGAAUCUGCUCCUCUGCCUGAGGAUUUUCCGAGAGUUUUGGACUUGAUGAAUCUGCGGGUGGUGGAGUUAGGGCACGAGUAUGUGUUGCGGGGUACACAUUAUCAUGGCUAUGGCGAUAAUUAUGAUAUAAUAGACACGAUUAAGGUUGCUUUUUUGUGUUUAGACAAUGAAAAUUAUUUUGUGCUGUUCAGGGAUGUCUUUCAUGGCAAAUUGGCCAUGUUUAAAUCUAGGGAAAAGCGGUGGUCCAUCGUUCAGGACAUGCCGUCGCCAUAUGACGACAUGAUAUCAUUUAAAGGGGAGUUUUAUACCGUUGACAAUGCUGGGAGGACUGUGGUCGUCGGGUUGGAUCUGAGUGUGACUUUGAUUGCACAGCCGAACUUUGAUGGUCUCCAAACGAAGUGCUUGGUGGAAUCUGUGGGCGAACUGCUGUUGGUCUAUAUGCAUUGGGAUGAGACACCGAGAUUUAAGGUCUACAAGUUGGACAGAGAAGAGAAGGUAUGGAAUGAGGUGAAAGAUUUAGGGGAUAGGGUGUUGUUUCUGGGAGAUGAAUGUACAUUUUCUGCUUCAGCUGCAGAUUUAGGGGCUUGUAAGGGGAAUUGCAUAUUUUUUAUAGAUCAAGAUGGAGACAUAGCAGCUUCGAGCCUUAAGAUUGUUGUCUAUGAUAUGGAAAGUGGCAUUUUUGGACCUAUAGAAGAUUAUGCAGGUUAUUCAGAGCUGUUCUGGCCUCCUCCAGAUUGGAUUGCUUCGAAGACUUCGGAAGUAAGUAUUUGUUUUCUGGAAUUCUUCCAAUCAUCUAUUUUGCAUCAUCGUUAGACUUUUCAGUUUGUCCGUCCUAGGAAUCUGUAUAGGAGCACACUAGAGAUUUCCUCUGUUCUGUUGCAUAUUCUAAUACUACAUUCUAUCAUCAUGUUCUGAAAGUAUGUCGAAGCUACUUCCUUGCGGGCACUGGUUAUAUUUUUGCCAAGAAGGGAAACCAUGGACUAUAGUCAUUUCUAGGAGAAAAUGUUGGGACUUAACAUUAGAUUCCUCAUGCUUUAUCAUAGUUGGUUUCAUUCCUGGUAAAAAAUAUUUCAUUGAACAUUCUCUGUCAUUUUCCCUUCUAUAAACUAUUUAAUACUCUCUUGGUGAUAGCCUUAGGUUCGAAAUCAAUUGAAAUCACUGGUAGUGUAAUGCGGUGGUUGGUCUUCUUGGAUAUGGGGCGUUGCUACAAUUGAAUCAUUCUGUGGCAUUGUACAUGAAUAACGCGGUAAGAAAGGGCAAGAGAGGUUGAUUCAGCUCACUGGAUGGACCAAGGCAACUCCUACCGAUGCUGAAGGCAAGAAGGUAAGUCUGGUCAGGCAACAAGGCAUCCUCUGAAUGACUGAUUAUGAGAUUAAUGCUCGGACUCCACCUAGAGGACCUGCAUCAUUGGUCAGGUCUUGUUGACUGUUUAUCAAGGAUUCCGCCAGACAAUCUCUGUCAAUUGAUGCAGAGGCACGUGAAGCCGUUCACUGUGCAUAGAUUUUAUUUUUUUGGGUCUCACUCCUCUUUUCUAUGUACAUGUGUCUGCGGUGCUCACGGAAUUUGAACUAUGAAAAGUAUGGUCUUCUGACCAUUUUUACCCUCUGUACUCACUUAUGGAUGCUUUUCUUAUUGUAAGUUAUGCUUCUAAAGUCUUUCCUUAGCUUGGAGGAUGUCAAUCUCUUACCAAAGAGGCAAACUUUUGCCGGCUGAGUUUUUGGCUGAAUCAUUUACACGGCUAUGACGCCUGUCGUCCAGUCCAGAAGUUUGUGAACUGGUAUCGGUUGUGUGUUGCCGCUAUUGACGACAGAGAACCUACCCAAGGCAGGGUUAAACCUUUGAGCCAACUUAGAUAUUUGAUAAACAAAAACAACAAUUUCACAACACACAAACUUCAGUCAAAAGGAUCGUGUGGAUUUCAUUAAUGGAGCUUCCAUUUUUUCUCUAGACGAAUUCUCAAACAUUCAUGUUCAUAUAUCAGAAUCUUUCAAGCUUUUACUUAACUUGAAUGCAAGGACAGAAUCCAUAUCCCAUCCAGAUUCAUAUCACUGGGGCCCCUAUCGUCACUUUCGGCACCAUAUCCCCAUCCAGAUUCAUCUCUCUCUCAAGCACAAAGAUAAAUGGGCAACCAAAGAGAAUUUCCCUCUCUCUCUCUCUCUCUCGCACAAAGAUAAAUGGAGUGAUUUUCUCAAAAACAUAAUAUUAGGAAACUCAAACAAUAUAUCUCUUCUCUACUCAUUCACUCCUGACAAAUGUACAUGAUUAGACUUCACCUAGUUCUCUCUACUUCUCCCAUACAUAUGGGCCCAACACAUCAUCAAUCUCGUUCGGGUACAUACCCAGAAGCCCGUCUUGCACUAAUGUUCCCAGCAUAUGACCAUACCUCUUCGAAUUCUGCCGCCGCAGGUUUCUCAUCAUGUUUUUUGUGAUUCUUCCCGUUUGUGGACGGGGCCGUUCUUCCCGGAUUUCGACUGAUGGAAGAGGAGCAAAAAUAUGGGGUCGCAAAAGGAGAGCCGUAGGGCGUGUGCUUGAUCGAGAGGGGACUAGAAGCCAUUUUCUCUUCCGAAUGGGAAGACAAACCAGACCUCCCCGCCUAAAGAGGGGCAAUGACUCGACUGCAGCACAACUCUUGGUGGCGUCGUCUCUACAUAUAUGACAUCGUCAAUCCUCGCUAUCACAUUAAAGGCGAGGCUCUCCGUUACACUCAAGUAGCUUUCGAGAAUCAAUUGUCCAACAUUUUGCAAGAUUACAAAGCCAGUUCAAAUGUGAAUAAGUUUCAAAAAGCUAACACUCAUCUGUACAAGCCAUCAAGUGGAUGCAUCAAGUGGCAUGCACGCAUUAACUGAACUAACCUUUGCACCUAAUGGAUGCUUUAUUUUGGGAGAUAUUGCAAUCUAAAAUGAGAAAGCGAUGAGCGAGUGUACCUUGUUAUAAUCGAUCUUCUUCAUAUCCAGUCUGAGGAAGGCUAGGGAAACAAAAGCCUUAAGGCCACGUUUGGUUGUUCGGAUUUCUAAUCGGGAUAGGACUAGAUAGGGUAGGAUAUGAAAUUCUUGGAUUUUUUUAUAUCCUAUUUAUUGUUUGGUGAAUCGCAAUAUUAAAGUUGGAUAUAUUUAUAUCAUAUCAUAUACAUUUUUUUUUUCAUAUAAACGACAUAUCAUUAUAAACGUACCUAAAUGUUCAUAAACGGAGAUGAUGAAAAUCUCUCGUAACACUAUUCCUUGAUUUAUUUUUAUUUUAUUUUUCCUCUUAUAUAUUAUUUUCUUUAUUAUUUCUUUUUUCCCCUUUCAUCAUUCUUUAAUAAAAUUUUAUCAAAUAAUAAAUUGUACUAACAUACUUAAAAUAAAAAAUACCUAAAAUAUAUAAUACAUAUAAAUAUUUAAUUUAUAGAUUGAAUGUUUAUUAUAAGAUAGAAUUAAAGUUGAAUAUAUAAAUUAAAAUAGGAUUAAUUAAAAAUGAUUUUUUUAUUUUUAAAUCUUUAAAUUAUAAUUCAAAUAUUAUUACUAUUGAAAUAUAAUUUCAAUAUUAUUAAUUUAAUAAGUUUGUUAUUCGAGAAAAAUAACUUUCAUAGUAUGGACAUUAGAAAUUCUAUUCACCUUUAUCCCACCUUUUCCAUGAGAUAAUUUUAUCAUAUCUAUAUCUCUCUUAUAUCCGACUUUAUCAUGUCCUAAACGAGCAUCAAACGUAGGAUAUAAUAAAUUAUAUCUUAUCCUGAAUUUUAUCCCGAUUGCCAAACGCAGCCUAAGCUCUGCAGCCGGGUCUCUGCUCGUUCAGCUAGAAGAUCUCUCUCUCCAUCGCUAGCCCUUUAACCUUACCAUCCCAAGAUGACUGCGUCGAUUUUGUACGAUUUACGCGUUUCUUCUGGUCUUUCGGCUUCAGGACAUGGACCGCCGCCUCAAUCCCCGUUAGCCGCCACCUCCAAGGGGUGAUUCUGAGAUGUUAAGUCAGAGACGAUCAGGCAGACAUUGUGGGGAAAACUGCUCGGCAGUAACGUAACGAUAUAUAGUAUGGCCUAGACAAUCUUUUCCACUCCGUAAGAAGAGAAAGCUUAUAGUCAAGCUUGUGCAAAGACUGGCAUAAUCAAUAACCUUAUAGACGAAUCGUCGAGUCGAUCACGGUCUACCUUCAAAGCUCCUCAUCAGAGGAUUAGGCAGCAACUGAGGCCGCAGGCGGACCCGACAAAGCAUAUGGACGACACGUCCAGCUUCAUUAUUAUCAUUGCCGGUGGAGCCAAUCUCUCGUGCUUGGAAGGAAGAAGGGGCUCAUCCCUCGAUCUUGGUCCGAUGAGCAAAUGAGAUCAUAGCUUCUCCGAUUUCGUUUCACAUGGUGACAACUGACAGCAUUUGUAAAGCUUGGAUUUAUUAUUUACGCAGGUGAUUGUGGGCUAAAUUAAGAGGAGAGCUGUCGUUUCGGGGGUUGAUUUGAAAUUCAUCUUUCGCAUCUGUUUUUAGAAAUCUUAAAUUACUUAGUACUAUGAUCUCGUCAUAAUUGUAGCCCCGGUAAGUUUUAAUUACCUCACACAUCUGUCUCAUGCGAGAUCUAGCAAUGUAAUUGCUUAUAGGCACAUGCUAUACUUGAAUCGACCUAAGGCAUGACUUGUGACAAUGAUAGGUCUAUCCCAAGCCCAAGCGAUGAGCUCGAGCUUGGUUUUUAAUUUCUUUUUUAUGUAUUCUUUAAAAUAAUAAAAAUCCCAAUAAAACUGUCCAUUGAAAUAAAUUCUUUCCUUCGUAAUGUUUAUUAUUUUUUUUAGGGAGUCCUAAGUAGGGGACAGCUGCACAAAAUUAAAAAUACAAAGGGGAACUACGUAAUUAAGGGUAUUUGAAAAGGAGAAAAAAAAACAACAUUCAGAUUUUAGCAGGAGUAUAUUUUAAGCAUAGCCAAAAAAAAAAUUAAAAAAAAAGAAGAACAAAAUCAUGAUAUGAGCAUCACCUGUACGUAGAUUACCCAAACCUACUAAGAGCGCGUUUGGUAACGAUUCUGUUCCCGGGAGUAGAUUCUGAUCAGAAUUGAUUCUUUUUUAUUCUGUUCCCGGGAACUGAUUCUAAGCAUUUUAGGCCGUUUGGUAACUGUCCAAAAUUUUUUAUUCUGGAAUAGAAUUGCGUUUGGUACCGUGUUCAUUAAUUAUGUUCCAAAUCUAUUUCUUUUAAUUUUUAAAUAAUUUUUUUACUUUUUUCCUUUUUUUUUCAUUUUCCUUUUUUUUCUUUUCUUUUUCUUUUCUUUUUCUCACCUUCUUCUUCUUCUUCUGGCCGGUCCGGCCUUGUCGGGGUUGGGCGAGGCCUGCCAGGCCACCGGCGGGGCUGGGCGAGCCUCGCCUGGCCACCGGUGGGGCUGGGCGUCGCAAGGCUUGCCCAGCCCCUGCCCAGCCCCGGCGAGGCCUCGCCCAUCCCUGGCGAGGCCUGCCUGGCCAUCGGCGAGGCUCGGCCUCGCCAGAUUUAGGGAGGCCGAGCCUCGCUGGUGGCUGGGCUUGCCUCCGGUGAGCUCGCCGGACCUCGCCCUGGUCUGGCGAGCUCGCCGGGCGGCGGCCAGCGGCGACGGCGGUCGCGAGAUGGCCGAAGGGAAGAAGAAAAUUUCUUAUUUUGAUUCUCAAAUUCGUUCCCGGAACAAGAAUCAACUUUUUUUUUGUUCUUGAUUCUAUUCCCAAUCUGUUCCCGGGAACAAAAAUUUUAUCAAAUGCGAUUCUAGGCCGAAAUUGAUUCCGGGAACAAAGAAUCAGAAUUUGGCCCUGUUUGGAUGGUUACCAAACAGGGCCUAACCAAACACUUUCCAUUCUUCUUCCGAAACCCCCGAAAAUAACUCCCGUCUCCCGCCUUCUUCUUCACCCUGUCGAGUGUCGAGGUUUCAGAGCAAGCAAGCAAUAUCUCAGUCGCCGAAUGAUGCAGCGACGAUGCGCGAAGCUCCGGCCGCUGACGCUUCAAUCGGUUCGCUGCUCUCCGGCCGCUGACGCUUCAAUGGUCCGGCUCAUUCGUUAGUAAGCUUGGAUUCAUUUACACAGGUGAUCGUGGGCUAAAUUGAGAGGAAAGCUUUCCUUCGGGGGUUGAACGAAGAAACUUUUAGAAGUACGGGGACGGGGGGCAAAGAUGUAACUAAGCCUCCAAAGCGCGCGUUCAGCCCCGCUUCGCUGCGAUUGCUUCCUUCCGAAGCAAGAAGCACGAAGUCCAGUCACCUGUAAAUUUUCCCCGCGGAUUCCCCCCUCUCACUUUCUCUCGCGUUUUCUCGCCGAUCCUGCUCGAUGUCCCGGGCGCAUCCCGCAGCUUCUAUGGUCGAUUGGAGCCAGAUGCCGGAGGACCUCCUCCGCCGCAUCGCGCGACGCCUCGGCACGCAGUUCGACGUCCUCCGAUUCCGAUCCGUCUGCUCUUCCUGGCGCUCCUCGCUCGCACCGAGCCCUAACCCCUUACGGCGCGGCCGAAUCCCGAUCAUCCCGCACGAGGGGUAUCCCGACGACUGCCCCGAGCUAUACGUUCUCCCCAAGCGCACCAUCUUCCUCGUCGGAGUGCCCCGAUCCUGCGACCAAACAGUCCGCAGCGGUUGGCUGGUCAAAGUCUGGGAGGACGACCGCGGGGUGAUGAAUCUACUGAACCCUCUCACCAGCUGCGAAUUCCGUCUGCUGCCUGAGGAUUUUCCGAGAGUUUUGGACUUGAUGAAUCUGCGCGUGCUGGAGUUAGGGCACGAGUGUGGGUUGCAGGAUUCCAAUGGUCUCAGCUAUUGCUAUUAUAAUCAUAUGUGGGGCGCGGAUAGGGUUGUUUUUUUGUGUUUAGACAAUGAAAAUGAUUUUGCGCUGCUCAGGCUUCUCCCUGGUGGCACACUGGUCAUGUUUAAAUCUAGGGAAAAACGGUGGUCACCCGUUCAGGACAUAUCGUUGGGAUAUGACGACGUGAUAUUGUUUAAGGGGGAGUUUUAUGCCGUUGACUUUGAUGGGAGCACUGUGGUUGUCGGGUUGGAUUCGAGUGUGACUUUGAUUGUGCAGUCGGACUUUGAUGGUUGGGACAAGCGCUUGGUGGAAUCUGUGGGCGAACUGCUGUUGGUCUAUAUGUAUGAGGAGGAGAAGACAACCAGAUUUAAGGUCCACAAGUUGGACAGAGAAGAGAAGGUAUGGAAUGAGGUGAAAGAUUUAGGGGAUAGGGUGUUGUUUCUGGUAGAGGAAUGUACAUUUUCUGCUUCAGCUGCAGAUUUAGGGGCUUGUAAGGGGAAUUGCAUAUUUUUUAGGGAUCAUGGUGGAGUACUCAGAGUGUCGAGCUUUGAUAUGGGUGUGGUUGGUGAGAUUGGUGUCUAUGAUAUGGAUAGUGGCAUUAUUGGAUAUAUAGAAGAUUAUGCAGGUUAUUCACAGCUGUUCUGGCCUCCUCCGGAUUGGAUUGUUUCCAGGACCGCAGAAGUAAGCAUUUGUUUUCUGGAAUUCUUUCAAUCAUCUAUUAUUAAUUAUCCAAUCUUUGCAUCAAUGUUAGACUUUUCAGUUUGUCGGUCCUACGAAUCCGUAUAGGAGCACACUAAAGAUUUCCUCUGUUCUGUCGCAUAUUCUCAUGCUACAUUCUAUCAUCAUGUUCCAAAAGUAUGUUGAAGUUACUUCCUUGCGGGCAUUGGUUUUAUAUUUGCCAGAGUGGAAACCAUGGACUAUAGUCACUGCUGGAAGAAAAUGUUGGCACUCAACAUUAGAUUCGUCAUGCUUUAUCAUAGUUGGUUUUAUUCCUGGCAAAGCAUAUCUCAUUGAACAUUCUGUCAUUUUUCCUUUCUCUGAACUAUUUAAUAUUCUCUUGGUGAUAUCCUCAGGUUCGAAAUCAAUUGGAAGCACCGACAGUGUAAUGCGGAGGUUGGUCUUCUUGGAUAAUGGGGUGUUGCUGCAAUCAAAUCGUUUGUUCACGGCAUUGUACAUGAAUAACACGGUAAGAAAGGACUAGAGAGGUUGAUUUAGUUCAUUGUAUGGACCCCGAGGCACUGAAGGAAGGCAAGAAGGUAGUCUGGUUAGGUGGCUAAUUUUUCUUUCUGUACUCACAUAUGGAUGCUUUUUGUAUUGUAAGUAAUACUUCUAAAGUCUUUCCUAAGCUUGGAGGAUGUCAGUCACUUGCCAAAGAGGCAAACCUUUGCCGCCGAGUUUUUGCCUGAUUCAUUUACAUAGCUAUGACGCCUGUUGCACAGUCCAGAAGUUUUUGAUGUGUUGCCCCUAUUGAUGACAGAGAACCUACCUAAGGCAGACUUCAAUCUUUUAGCCAACUCAGAUAUUUGACAAACAGAAACAACAAUUUCACAAAACAUAAACUUCAGUCGAAAGGAUCGUAUGGAUUUCAUUAAUGGAGCAUCCAUUUUCUCUUUAGACGAAUUCUUGAACCUUCAUGUUCAUAUAUAUUUCAGGGUUUUACUUGAAUUGAAUUGCAAGGACAGAACCCAUAUCCAUCCAGAUUCAUACCACUGGAAGAUUCAUAUCACUAGGGCCCCCAUUGUCACUUUUGGCACCUUCAUCGAAAUAUCUCUCUCUCAAGCACAAAGAUAAAUGGGCAACCAAAGGCAAUUUCACAUAUGCCUGGUUCCCUGAUCUUCAGAGGCCAAUAGGGUGCUUCUCUCAAAACACAAUACUAGGAAACUCCAAAUCAGUAUCAUCUUUUCUCUACUCAUUUACUCCUGACACAUGUACAUUCUCUCUACUUCUCCCAUACAUAUAGACCCACUCAUGAAUUCAUGCUGCUAAUAUUUCCUGCAUUUGGACCCAACUCAUCGUCAAUCUCGUUCGGGUGCAUCCCCAGAAAACCGCCUCGCAGUAAUGUUCCCAGCAUAUGACCAUAUCUCUUCGGAUUCUGGUGCUGCCGGUUUUUCAUCGUGUUUUUUGUGAUUGUUGCUGUUUGUGGACGAGGGCAUUCUUCCCGGAUUUCCACCGAAGGGAGAGGAACAGAAAGAUGGGGUCGCAAAAGGAGAGCCGUAAGGCGUGUGCUUGAUCGAGAAGGGACUAGGAGCCAUCUUAUCUUGGGAAGACAAACCAGACCUCCCCGGCUAAAGGGGCAAUGACUCGACUGCAGCACAUCUCUUGGUGGUGUCGUCUACAUAUAUGACAUCGCCAAUCCUCACUAUUACACUGAAGGCGAGGCUCGCCAUUACUCUCAAGUAGCUUUCGAGAAUCGAUUGUCCAACAUCCAGCAAGAUUACAAAGCCAUUUCAAAAUAUCAACAAGUUUCGAAUGCAUGAAUAGGCAUGCACGCAUUAACUAAACUAACCUUUCCACCUCAUGAAUGCUUUAAUCAUCAGAGAAAUUGCAAUCUGAAGAUGAGAAAGCGAUGAGCUAGUGUACCUUGUUAUCCUCAAUCUCGCUCACAUCCAAUAAUGCAGUCUGAGGAAGGCCAUGGAAACGAAAGCCUUGAGCUCUGCAGUAGGACCAGUCUCUGCACCAUCAGCAUCUAGCCCUUUAACCUUACCACACCAGGACGAUUGCCUAGAUUUCGUUCGGUUUACGCCUUUCUUCUGAUAUUUCUGCUUCUGGACAUGGACCGCCGCCCCGAUUUCGUUAGCGGCCACCUCCAAGGCAUGGUGCUUAGAUGUUAAGGCGAGACGAUCAUGAGAAUGGCUCGACAGCGACGCAAGCGGUAUGUGAUAUGGUCCAGACGAUCUCUUCCACUCUGCAGGGAGAGAGGUGCUUAUAGUCAAAGCUCGUGCAAAGACCGGCCUAACCAAAUAACCUUAUAGCCAAACCGUCGAGUUGAUCAGAGUCCACCUUUGAAGCUCCUCAUCGGAGGACUUGGCGGCAACGGAGGUCGCGGGUGCACCCGACAGAGCAAAUCGACGGACGCGUCCGACUUCAUCAUUAUCGUCGCUGGUCCAGCCGAUGGCAGCUGGUCCAGAUCCACCAUGCUCACCUCCUCCUCCGUCACACACUCUCUCUCUCUCUCUCUCUCUCUCUCUCUCUCUCUCUCUACACACAGAGGUGAUUUUGGGCUAAAUUAAGAGUAGAGCUGCCAAUUGGGGGGGCUUAUUGGAAAAACGUUCAAAAGUACAGGGACUGGGGGCAAAAAUGCAAUCGACCCCUCAAAAUCGCACGUCGAUCCACAUUUCGCUGCAAUUGCAAAUUCCGAAGCUCUGAGUCCAAUUCACCUGUGGAUUUUCUCAGCAGAUUUUCCCUCACUUUCUCUCGAAUUUUCUCGCCGAUCCGACUCGAUUUUCCCGGGAGGUGGAUCCCAAGAGCCUACCACGCCCCGUCGUCCUCGCCAUGGCCGAAUGGAGCCAGAUGCCGGAGGACCUCCUCCGCCUCAUCGCGCGGCGCCUCGGCACGCAGUUCGACGUCCUCCGGUUCCGAUCCGUCUGCUCUUCCUGGCGCUCCUCGGUCGCGCCGAGCCCUG